UAGUGGCUGUAGAAGAGAAAAAAAUUAACAAAAUAUAACCAAUAAAUUCAUCUCAUUUUAAUGUAAGAAAUUUCUGUUUGGUUCCUCAAGAAACCUGUAUUUGUGAAGUUCAUUGAGGUUACAAACCUCAAUCAAAAUUAAUUUAUUAGCUGAUCCAUUUUCACAUCAUACUAUGCAAUAGUACAACAAUUGUACUUGAAAUCAUUUCACUCCAAUUCAGUCUUGUCAAACAUCCUAGGAAAAAAUAACAAACAAACACAAGUUGCAGAACAAACCAGGAAUAGGACGACCAUUCUGAUUACUCUUUGAGGAACCUGAGGUCAACAUUCCACUCCUAGCAGUUGUUGCAGUAGCAGACACAUUUAAUUUUGGACCAGAUGAAGAAAGUAAAAAACACCAGACAACUCAAUUCCAUAGCACAGGCACAAUGUCAGACACUCCACUUAAUAUUUAUCCUAAUUACUAAUCAAUAAAAAGCAAUGUGAAGGAUAUGAGGACGAAGCUACUGGCAACCGCGGACAAGCAUUGCGUUUUGCUCUAUUCCCAACAGUAUCAUUGACAGUAAGUACUUUCCUCUUUGCCUAUCAAAGAGGUAUAAAAAAUUAAUGUAAUAGAAAUCAGAAUAAGUUCAAUUUUUAUUCACUAUGAUAUAAUCGCGUAAAGAGUAUGUAUACAUAGACUAACCAAGGAAACCGGGGCCGGAGAAGCUUUAGCCAAUGCACCAGGCUUCGGAGAUAAGCCAAUUUUUCUAUCUUUAACGGGAAGAGCAUCUGAUGAAUGCAUAAACAAAUUCUCUUCAAUUUCCUGCAACUCUAUCGAAGUGCCAACGGGCUCUUCUUCUUGGAUAGCUUCCAGAUUCAACCCUGACUUAGCAGAGACCGUGCCACUAAUCAUAGAAAGCUCCACCGCAUUCAAAACACCUGAAAAGUAAGGUUCAACACCAAUUAAUUAAUAAUAUCAAAUUUUACAGUUUAUUCAUGGAUAAUAGAGAGAAGAGAAUGUGAAUGCCUUGUUCGGUGAAGAAAGCUCGAUCCCACGCCAAGCUCUUGCGCAAGUUGUAACCGCCUCCUCUCUUCUUCCUCUUCAUCUUCUGAGUCUCCACGCUAAGCUUCUGUGGUUUGUUCCAAUCCGCGUUCUCUUUGUUCGCAUUCUCACCGAGCGAGGAACUCGGAGUUGCAGAAUCCGCACCCCCGCCACCUUCUCUUCCUUCUGCAGGUGCAUUAGUCAAAUCAGUGAUACAUUAACAAUUUUUCAUCACAAAUUAUAGAAAAACCCUAACCGGAUUGAGGAGGAUUAGAUCCGAGGGAAAGGAGAGGGGAGCAAGAGAAAACGUCGGUGGACGCUGCCGAAACAUCGAACAGCAACGAAUCGUCUUCGCCUGCGAUCUCGAGAAGCGGAAGGUUAGAAAUGGAAUCCAUGUGAUAUCACUUCUUCUUCUCUUUGAGUUGUAGUUUUUGCAUUGGCUGUGAAAUGGAAUGAAUGAAUCGGUUACUGUGUCUGCUUCUGCUGCACACUCCUUCCGAAAUUCAAAUAAGGGCGAGCGGGAACCACCACUGUUCUUUUGGCACGUUAGUGUAACGGAUUUACGAGAUGAGCCACGCUAAUGUCACGGAUUUACCAAGAAUAUCCAACGGUAGUGUGAGUGAUAUAAUGUAAUUGGGCUACACCAAAUUUGUAGUUGUUAGUUAGUUAUUACCCUUUGGGCCCAUUAGCCUCUCUUUCUAUGUCCUUCUUUACUACUCCGCCUAGUCGUUCCAUGUGGAUAACUUGAUUUUUUUUUUAAUUAUUCUUUUGAUCA